UUAAGCGACUAAGCGUACACGGUGGAUGCCCUGGCAGUCAGAGGCGAUGAAGGACGUGCUAAUCUGCGAUAAGCGUCGGUAAGGUGAUAUGAACCGUUAUAACCGGCGAUUUCCGAAUGGGGAAACCCAGUGUGAUUCGUCACACUAUCAUUAACUGAAUCCAUAGGUUAAUGAGGCGAACCGGGGGAACUGAAACAUCUAAGUACCCCGAGGAAAAGAAAUCAACCGAGAUUCCCCCAGUAGCGGCGAGCGAACGGGGAGCAGCCCAGAGCCUGAAUCAGUGUGUGUGUUAGUGGAAGCGUCUGGAAAGGCGCGCGAUACAGGGUGACAGCCCCGUACACAAAAAUGCACAUGCUGUGAGCUCGAUGAGUAGGGCGGGACACGUGGUAUCCUGUCUGAAUAUGGGGGGACCAUCCUCCAAGGCUAAAUACUCCUGACUGACCGAUAGUGAACCAGUACCGUGAGGGAAAGGCGAAAAGAACCCCGGCGAGGGGAGUGAAAAAGAACCUGAAACCGUGUACGUACAAGCAGUGGGAGCCUCUUUUAUGGGGUGACUGCGUACCUUUUGUAUAAUGGGUCAGCGACUUAUAUUCUGUAGCAAGGUUAACCGAAUAGGGGAGCCGAAGGGAAACCGAGUCUUAACUGGGCGUUAAGUUGCAGGGUAUAGACCCGAAACCCGGUGAUCUAGCCAUGGGCAGGUUGAAGGUUGGGUAACACUAACUGGAGGACCGAACCGACUAAUGUUGAAAAAUUAGCGGAUGACUUGUGGCUGGGGUGAAAGGCCAAUCAAACCGGGAGAUAGCUGGUUCUCCCCGAAAGCUAUUUAGGUAGCGCCUCGUGAAUUCAUCUCCGGGGGUAGAGCACUGUUUCGGCAAGGGGGUCAUCCCGACUUACCAACCCGAUGCAAACUGCGAAUACCGGAGAAUGUUAUCACGGGAGACACACGGCGGGUGCUAACGUCCGUCGUGAAGAGGGAAACAACCCAGACCGCCAGCUAAGGUCCCAAAGUCAUGGUUAAGUGGGAAACGAUGUGGGAAGGCCCAGACAGCCAGGAUGUUGGCUUAGAAGCAGCCAUCAUUUAAAGAAAGCGUAAUAGCUCACUGGUCGAGUCGGCCUGCGCGGAAGAUGUAACGGGGCUAAACCAUGCACCGAAGCUGCGGCAGCGACGCUUAUGCGUUGUUGGGUAGGGGAGCGUUCUGUAAGCCUGUGAAGGUGUGCUGUGAGGCAUGCUGGAGGUAUCAGAAGUGCGAAUGCUGACAUAAGUAACGAUAAAGCGGGUGAAAAGCCCGCUCGCCGGAAGACCAAGGGUUCCUGUCCAACGUUAAUCGGGGCAGGGUGAGUCGACCCCUAAGGCGAGGCCGAAAGGCGUAGUCGAUGGGAAACAGGUUAAUAUUCCUGUACUUGGUGUUACUGCGAAGGGGGGACGGAGAAGGCUAUGUUGGCCGGGCGACGGUUGUCCCGGUUUAAGCGUGUAGGCUGGUUUUCCAGGCAAAUCCGGAAAAUCAAGGCUGAGGCGUGAUGACGAGGCACUACGGUGCUGAAGCAACAAAUGCCCUGCUUCCAGGAAAAGCCUCUAAGCAUCAGGUAACAUCAAAUCGUACCCCAAACCGACACAGGUGGUCAGGUAGAGAAUACCAAGGCGCUUGAGAGAACUCGGGUGAAGGAACUAGGCAAAAUGGUGCCGUAACUUCGGGAGAAGGCACGCUGAUAUGUAGGUGAAGUCCCUUGCGGAUGGAGCUGAAAUCAGUCGAAGAUACCAGCUGGCUGCAACUGUUUAUUAAAAACACAGCACUGUGCAAACACGAAAGUGGACGUAUACGGUGUGACGCCUGCCCGGUGCCGGAAGGUUAAUUGAUGGGGUCAGCGCAAGCGAAGCUCUUGAUCGAAGCCCCGGUAAACGGCGGCCGUAACUAUAACGGUCCUAAGGUAGCGAAAUUCCUUGUCGGGUAAGUUCCGACCUGCACGAAUGGCGUAAUGAUGGCCAGGCUGUCUCCACCCGAGACUCAGUGAAAUUGAACUCGCUGUGAAGAUGCAGUGUACCCGCGGCAAGACGGAAAGACCCCGUGAACCUUUACUAUAGCUUGACACUGAACAUUGAGCCUUGAUGUGUAGGAUAGGUGGGAGGCUUAGAAGUGUGGACGCCAGUCUGCAUGGAGCCGACCUUGAAAUACCACCCUUUAAUGUUUGAUGUUCUAACGUGGACCCGUAAUCCGGGUUGCGGACAGUGUCUGGUGGGUAGUUUGACUGGGGCGGUCUCCUCCUAAAGAGUAACGGAGGAGCACGAAGGUUGGCUAAUCCUGGUCGGACAUCAGGAGGUUAGUGCAAUGGCAUAAGCCAGCUUGACUGCGAGCGUGACGGCGCGAGCAGGUGCGAAAGCAGGUCAUAGUGAUCCGGUGGUUCUGAAUGGAAGGGCCAUCGCUCAACGGAUAAAAGGUACUCCGGGGAUAACAGGCUGAUACCGCCCAAGAGUUCAUAUCGACGGCGGUGUUUGGCACCUCGAUGUCGGCUCAUCACAUCCUGGGGCUGAAGUAGGUCCCAAGGGUAUGGCUGUUCGCCAUUUAAAGUGGUACGCGAGCUGGGUUUAGAACGUCGUGAGACAGUUCGGUCCCUAUCUGCCGUGGGCGCUGGAGAACUGAGGGGGGCUGCUCCUAGUACGAGAGGACCGGAGUGGACGCAUCACUGGUGUUCGGGUUGUCAUGCCAAUGGCACUGCCCGGUAGCUAAAUGCGGAAGAGAUAAGUGCUGAAAGCAUCUAAGCACGAAACUUGCCCCGAGAUGAGUUCUCCCUGACCCUUUAAGGGUCCUGAAGGAACGUUGAAGACGACGACGUUGAUAGGCCGGGUGUGUAAGCGCAGCGAUGCGUUGAGCUAACCGGUACUAAUGAACCGUGAGGCUUAACCUU
rnacentral:rRNA from 1 species